AUUGAACGCUGGCGGCAGGCCUAACACAUGCAAGUCGAGCGCGAAAACACUUCGGUGUGAGUAAAGCGGCGGACGGGUGAGUAACGCGUAGGAAUCUACCUAGUAGUGGGGGACAACUCGGGGAAACUCGAGCUAAUACCGCAUACGCCCUACGGGGGAAAGCGGGGGACCUUCGGGCCUCGUGCUAUUAGAUGAGCCUGCGUUGGAUUAGCUAGUUGGUGGGGUAAAGGCCUACCAAGGCGACGAUCCAUAGCUGGUCUGAGAGGAUGAUCAGCCACACCGGGACUGAGACACGGCCCGGACUCCUACGGGAGGCAGCAGUGGGGAAUAUUGCGCAAUGGGCGAAAGCCUGACGCAGCCAUGCCGCGUGUGUGAAGAAGGCCUUCGGGUUGUAAAGCACUUUCAAUUGGGAGGAAAGGUUCACGGUUAAUAACCGUGAGCUGUGACGUUACCUUUAGAAGAAGCACCGGCUAACUCCGUGCCAGCAGCCGCGGUAAUACGUAGGGGGCGAGCGUUGUCCGGAUUUAUUGGGCGUAAAGAGCUCGUAGGCGGUUCAACAAGUCGGUCGUGAAAGUUCAGGGCUCAACCCUGAAAUGUCGAUCGAUACUGUUGUGACUAGGAUACGGUAGAGGUGAGUGGAAUUCCGAGUGUAGCGGUGAAAUGCGUAGAUAUUCGGAGGAACACCAAUUGCGAAGGCAGCUCACUGGGCCGCUAUCGACGCUGAGGAGCGAAAGCUAGGGGAGCAAACAGGAUUAGAUACCCUGGUAGUCCUAGCUGUAAACGAUGGAUACUAGAUGUAGGAACUGGAUUGACGGUUUCUGUAUCGCAGCUAACGCGUUAAGUAUCCCGCCUGGGGAGUACGGUCGCAAGACUAAAACUCAAAGGAAUUGACGGGACCCCGCACAAGCGGCGGAGCAUGCGGCUUAAUUCGAUGAUACCCGUAGAACCUUACCUGGACUUGACAUAUAGGGUCAAGCUAUAGAGAUAUAGUGUGCAUUAGCGCCCUAUACAGGUGGUGCAUGGCUGUCGUCAGCUCGUGU
rnacentral:rRNA from 1 species